UACGAAGGUGGCAAGCGUUAUUCGGAUUUACUGGGCGUAAAGGGCGCGUAGGCGGCCACUGCAAGUCAGUUGUGAAAUCUCCGGGCUUAACUCGGAAAGGUCAACUGAUACUGCAGGGCUAGAGUGCGGAAGGGGCAACUGGAAUUCUCGGUGUAGCGGUGAAAUGCGUAGAUAUCGAGAGGAACACCUGCGGCGAAGGCGGGUUGCUGGGCCGACACUGACGCUGAAGCGCGAAAGCUAGGGGAGCGAACAGG
rnacentral:rRNA from 1 species